AAUCAAGCGCGAAAAGGGCGUUUGGUGAAUGCCUUGGCAGUAAGAGGCGAUGAAGGACGUGAUACUCUGCGAUAAGUUAUGGGGAGCUGAGAAUAAGCUUUGAUCCAUAAAUUUCCGAAUGGGGCAACCCACCUGAUACUUUGUUAUUAAUACUACUUAUUGUAGUGCCGUUUAAGGGUUCGCCCUUGGGUAGCGUUGCAUGCGGUGGGGCAUAAUAAUAGGGUAAACCAGGUAUUUAUAACUUGAAUACAUAGGGUUAUAAAAGCAAACCCGGGGAACUGAAACAUCUAAGUACCCGGAGGAAAGGACAUCAAUUAGAUACUCCCCUAGUAGCGGCGAGCGAACGGGGACCAGCCGAGCCAUGAGUGUGACUAGAAUGUGUUGGAAAGCACAACCAAAGUGGGUGACAGUCCCGUAUAGGAAGCAUGAUUGGACGUAUUAAGUAGGGCGGGACACGUGAAAUCCUGUUCGAAGAUCGGAGGACCACCUCCGAAGGCUAAGUACUCCUUACUGACCGAUAGUGAACCAGUACCGUGAGGGAAAGGUGAAAAGCACCCCGACGAGGGGAGUGAAACAGUUUCUGAAACCGGACGCCUACAAUCAGUUGGAGGGCCCUUGCGGCCUGACAGCGUACCUUUUGUAUAAUGGGUCAUCGACUUAGUGUAUCUAGCAAGCUUAAGCCGUUAGGUGUAGGCGCAGCGAAAGCGAGUCUUAAUAGGGCGAUUGAGUUAGAUGCAUUAGACCCGAAACCGAGUGAUCUAGGCAUGACCAGGUUGAAGGUUGGGUAACACCAACUGGAGGACCGAACCCACAUCUGUUGAAAAAGAUCGGGAUGAGUUGUGCCUAGGGGUGAAAGGCCAAUCAAACUCGGAGAUAGCUGGUUCUCCGCGAAAUCUAUUUAGGUAGAGCGUCAUCCGAAUACCCCGGGGGGUAGAGCACUGGAUGGGUAAUGGGGCCCCACAGGCUUACUGAUCCUAACCAAACUCCGAAUACCCGGGAGUAAUAGAUGGCAGACACACUGCGGGUGCUAACGCCCGUAGUGAAAAGGGAAACAACCCUGACCGACAGUUAAGGCCCCUAAUUCAUGGCUAAGUGGGAAAGCAGGUGGGACGACCAAAACAACCAGGAAGUUGGCUUAGAAGCAGCCAUCUUUUAAAGAUAGCGUAACAGCUCACUGGUCUAAUUAAGUUGUCCUGCGGCGAAGAUGUAACGGGGCUCAAGCCAUGAGCCGAAACUUCGGAUGCAUUUAAUGCAUGGUAGCGGAGCGUAGUGUGACAUAGUUCCAUGCGUCCUUCGUUUUAUAGCGGACUGCCCAGGCUUUCGAGCCUAUGUGGAGGCGCGUAAAAUACUGGACGCAAGGAGCUUUCUGUGAAGCCGGCCUGUGAGGGAUCCGGUGGAGAGAUCACUAGUGAGAAUGAUGACAUGAGUAACGACAAAGGGGGUGAGAGACCCCCUCGCCGAAAAUCCAAGGGUUCCUGCUUAAAGCUAAUCUGAGCAGGGUAAGCCGGCCCCUAAGCCGAGGGCGAAAGCCGUAGGCGAUGGGAACCAGGUUAAUAUUCCUGGGCCAGGAGGAAGUGACGGAUCACAAAGAUUGUUGGAUCAGGCGUAGUUGCCCCAGCAGUUCAGUGGUUCCUGGAAAUAGCCCUCCAUCAGACCGUACCCUAAACCGACACAGGUGGAUAGGUAGAGUAUACCAAGGCGCUUGAGAGAACUAUGUUGAAGGAACUCGGCAAAAUACCUCCGUAAGUUCGCGAGAAGGAGGCCCGGUUUCUAGGCAACUGGAAGCUGGGGGCACAAACCAGGGGGUG
rnacentral:rRNA from 1 species